rnacentral:misc_RNA from 1 species
GAAACGCGAAAGGUAAUGCGAAUUGCAGAAUCAGUGAGUCAUCGAAUCUUUGAACGCACAUUGCGCCUCUCGGUAUUCCGGGAGGCACGCCUGUUCGAGCGCCAUUACAAACUCCAAGUGUGGCUUGAUGUUGGGCGAUGUCUUUUUGCGAGAGCGGAGACACGCCUGGAACGCGUUGGCGCCGCCGCCGGACCACGAGCGUAGCAAGACGAGAGUCAAUCGCAUCGAUUUGGAUUCCGACGGAGGUCCGCCAUGGGACUGCACUUUCGAGUGUAAGUUCACAACUUCUCUCAAGUUUGGCCUCGGAUCAGGCGGGGAUACCCGCUGAACUUAAGC